rnacentral:rRNA from 1 species
UCUCCUUUCUCCAAUCAAUGAAACUGAUCUUCCCGUGAAGAAGCGGGAAUUGACUUAUAAGACGAGAAGACCCCAUGGAGCUUUAAACCCAAUUACAUCCUUAUAUCUUAUUUCCUUAUAACCUCUAAGGUAUUGUAUAUCUGGUUUUAGGUUGGGGUGACCACGGAGCAUAAACAAGCCUCCAUGAUGAAUGGAAUUAUUCCCUUAUCCAAGAAUUACACUUCUAAGAAUUAACAUUUUAACAUUUAAUGAUCCAAUAAUUGAUCAACGAACCAAGUUACCCUGGGGAUAACAGCGCAAUCCAUUUCAAGAGCUCCUAUCGACAAAUGGGUU